AUAUCAAGGCAUGUACGAUAAUGGAUUCUAAUAAUCUCGUUGUCCUACUUGCAGUAUGGUUGAGUAUUGGAAUAUCUACUUCAUUUGUACUGGAUUCUACAGAAUUUCGUUGUGGAGAUAAUGUCUGUCAAAGACAUCAGGUAUUUG